AGUGAACGCUGGCGGUAGGCCUAACACAUGCAAGUCGAACGGCAGCACAGUAAGAGCUUGCUCUUACGGGUGGCGAGUGGCGGACGGGUGAGGAAUACAUCGGAAUCUACUUUUUCGUGGGGGAUAACGUAGGGAAACUUACGCUAAUACCGCAUACGACCUACGGGUGAAAGCAGGGGAUAUUCGCACCUUGCGCGAUUGAAUGAGCCGAUGUCGGAUUAGCUAGUUGGCGGGGUAAAGGCCCACCAAGGCGACGAUCCGUAGCCGAUCUGAGAGGAUGAUCAGCCACACUGGAACUGAGACACGGUCCAGACUCCUACGGGAGGCAGCAGUAGGGAAUAUUGGACAAUGGGCGAAAGCCUGAUCCAGCCAUACCGCGUGAGUGAAGAAGGCCUUCGGGUUGUAAAGCCCUUUUGUUGGGAAAGAAAAGCAGCAGGUUAAUACCCCGCUGUUCUGACGGUACCCAAAGAAUAAGCACCGGCUAACUUCGUG
rnacentral:rRNA from 1 species